GCCCCCAUGCGGUAGUGGAAGCCUGCAAGGUUCUCAGCCUUGUCGCGCGGGUUCGAUUCCCGCUGGGAGUA
rnacentral:tRNA from 1 species